rnacentral:rRNA from 1 species
UACGAAGGGGGCUAGCGUUGUUCGGAAUUACUGGGCGUAAAGGGCUCGUAGGCGGCCAACUAAGUCGGACGUGAAAUCCCCAGGCUCAACCUGGGAACUGCGUCCGAUACUGGAUGGCUUGAAUCCGGGAGAGGGAUGCAGAAUUCCAGGUGUAGCGGUGAAAUGCGUAGAUAUCUGGAGGAAUACCGGUGGCGAAGGCGGCAUCCUGGACCGGCAUUGACGCUGAGGAGCGAAAGCCAGGGGAGCAAACGGG